UGGGAACAGACACAGAUGGCCAGACUCGAAGGCGC
rnacentral:sRNA from 1 species